AGAAAAGGUCAUCGGAUAACACCAAAACUCUAGGUCCGAAAGUCGGAAAACCCUAGAAUUUGAAGAACUCGUCGGAACAAAAUCAGAGAUGUCAGAAAAUCACGAAAAUCACCCAAAACAUAUACUGAUACAGGAUCGGAGCCUCAAACUGUCAGAAAAGUCCCGAUUAACCGAUUAACAUUCAUCGAAAAAAUAUACGAACAGUAUUUUUCUCAGAUAACCGAAGAAAAACUUCAGCGAAAGCUUCAUCAAGUAUCGAUAACACGUAACAAAGAAGGAUCAUCGUCAGAAAAGUCCCGAUUAACCGAUUAACAUUCAUCGAAAAAAUAUACGAACAGUAUUUUUCUCAGAUAACCGAAGAAAAACUUCAGCGAAAGCUUCAUCAAGUAUCGAUAACACGUAAUAGAGAAGGAUCGAAAGAUUUUCCCGCUCUGAUACCAUGAAAACAUGGGGAUUUGAAGAUGAAAACCAGAGAAGAUGAAGAUGAACAGUAAUAAAUAGAGAGAGAGAUGAGAAGCUUCUGGAGGAAACCCGAGAAGCAAAAAUGAAUUCCUCAAUAAAAAUAUCUCUACAUAUGACCUAUAUACAAUCACUAUUGGGUCGGGUCAGACGGCCCAAUAACAAAAAUAAAACGGACUCAGAUAUAUACAACCCAAUUAACAAAUCAUCACAGCCCAACUCCCACAUAUACAAUGU
rnacentral:lncRNA from 1 species